rnacentral:tRNA from 1 species
AGCUUUAUAGUUUAAAAAAAACAUUAAUUUUGUAAAUUAAAUUUAAAUUAUUAUUUUAAAGCUU